UAGGCAGUAUUUACUGAUACACUGGGUAC
rnacentral:piRNA from 1 species